rnacentral:snoRNA from 1 species
CUGUCUCUCCUAUGUUGAACAGCCAUGUGGUAGGGACAUGUGAGAGUUGAUGGAACCCUCUCCCUUGACAG